UGUGGUGUUAAACCAAAAUGCUAAAGAGAGCGAAGGGGAAAUAAUGAACUACGUUUCAUGUAAUGUAGUACACUAUAAGAGAGUUAGAGUACUGUAGUGGACACAAUUCAAAAAUCACCUUAAGGAAAGGGCUUAUAUAAAAUAAAGAUAAAUUCAAAACAAGUUACAUGCUCGUGACCCACAACAACUAAUAGGGCCAACAUUUUAUUUUAGAACUACUCUUUUAAUUUUUGCAACUACAUACUUUCCUGGAAUAAGAAAGCCUUGCCCUGUCCCUUACUCGUCGCUGUCUCAUGGCUAUGCGCCGCAUUUUAUGGAGGGGUAUAGAGGUUCUCGCGAAAGGGCCGACUUUAUGAUAUGCUUGUCGAUAUGGAAUUAGAUCCCAAAGUUUCGACCACUCACUAUCUAGAGAGAAGCCUCAACCUCUUCCUUUCUAUACAUUGAGUUAUAUUCAAAGGUAUCCCAACACCGGUAAUGCCCCAUCUUUUAGUCAAUCCGCUACGCACCUUAAGUGCUAGAAGACGAACAACUGAUUCUCAAGUAGGGGAUUCAUCGAAAAUGACCUAUCUGUCUACUUGCUUUCAGUUCUGUUCCCGUGUCUAAAGCUCUCAACCUAUUCUUGUGCAAACCAACCAAGUUCACUGCCUAAAUUUAGGAGUGAAAUAACCCGCUAUGAGUAGAUGGGACUUUGCCUGGUAUUCCUUCUUCUUGAUUGAGGUGCCUAUGAUAGGCACAUUGGUUAAUUGAAAAUUUAUAUGAAUUGACAUGUUUUGGUGAUAGUUCAUAUUGUUGUACAAUUGAGUAUACUUGUACCACUUAGGGUACAUUGGUUAGGAUAGUUGAUUUGGUAUGUUUUAAGCUUGUUUAAUGUAAUUUUGAAUAGGUCAUAUGGCUAGUAAAUGAAUUACUUAGGGUCCAAGUAAGCUUGAAAUCAUAAACUUUUCAUUUAAGGUUCAUUUAGGGCCACAUGGCUUGUGACACGCCAGUGUCACCUAGCCAUAUGUCACACACAGCCUAGCGACAUGGCCGUAUGGCAUCUGAUGAUUUACUUAGGGUUCAAGUCAGUGAGUUACACGACCUAACACAUGGCCUAACACACGAGUGUGUGAGGCAACUUAGAAAGUUACAAGACCUGGGACACGGGUGUGUGACAAGGUUGUGUGACCCUACUUAGAGAGUUACACGGGUGAGGACACGGGCUAGGACACGACCGUGUUUCCCUAGUUCAAAAGGUACAUGGUUGGGGACAUGGGCAUGUGAUACAGCCAUGUGAAUCACACGGCCUAGCCACACGGCCGUGUGACCCAUGUUUUGCAUAUUUUUCAUUUUCUUCCUAAACUUCCUAUCUUAUUUCAAAUUAGUCUCGUUGGGCGGAGCUAGAGCAAGAGCCUGUUCCAGAGCCGGGAGGGCAGUAGGACUAAGGGCAGUAGCCUUUUCUUCAAGUAGGGUUUUCUUGAUAGCCAGAAGCUCUUCCUUCCAUUAGUAAUCUGGGCAGAAUCGAUCAACUACCUUUUCCUUCUGUAAAAAAUUCCCAGAAAAAUGGUUGAAUGGGCAGACUUACGACUAAACUCUUAUUGGGAUGGGAUGCCUUACCUUACAACUGCUACGGGUAGCUCUCUUAACUAUCUGGCUAUCUCUUAAGAGUGAAACUCAAUUCCCUCACUACUUGCCUGUAAACCAGAGCUAAUGAUUGUGGAUCCUUUACCGUAGUUGAAUUCACACCAGCUUACUCUAGACAAAGAUAAGAUAACGAUUUGGCGAUUUGAAUGCCAUAUAUGACUUGACUCUAUCAAUUUCGGAACCCUCCAAAAAGAAAGAGAUUACACUUGAGCUAUUAUUGUUCUAACGACAGAAGUGGAUUCAAGCAUUCGUUCCGAGUCGCCAAGAGACAGAAGAGCUUAUUUCAAGCAUUCCCCUUGAGUCGGGAAAACUCCUUAAUUAUUUAACUGGGUAUGAGAACUCCUCCCUUAUAGUAGAAAUUCUUCCAAGAACGUAUUCUUCUUAAUUAAGUUGAUUUGAGAACAUCUGCUACUGAUUUCAAUAGCCAAGUCAAGCUUUCCAGCAGGUGAGACAAAUGCCGAUUCUACCUCUUCCAACUCCCUCUUUAUAGCAGGAUUUUCUUAACCAAGAGCUAGCUUAUGGAUAUUAGAUAUCAAUAUCGGAAGAUCAGGCCCAUCACUUCUUCUUGACUUUUAUGAUUUGCCAAUCCCUAUAAUUAAAAAGUUUAUCAGCGUUUUCCCAAUCCUUAUAAUUAAAGUCAACUGAGCAUAUUAUGGAAUAGGGAAAACUACAAUUAGGAUCAACAUAGAAGUUUCCCCGUGUGGUGUUAAACCAAAAUGCUAAAGAGAGCGAAGGGGAAAUCAUAAACUACGUUUCAUGUAAUGUAGUACACUAUAAGAGAGUUAGAGUACUGUAGUGGACACAAUUCAAAAAUCACCUUAAGGAAAGGGCUUAUAUAAAAUAAAGAUAAAUUCAAAACAAGUUACAUGCUCGUGACCCACAACAACUAAUAGGGCCAACAUUUUAUUUUAGAACUACUCUUUUAAUUUUUGCAACUACAUACUUUCCUGGAAUAAGAAAGCCUUGCCCUGUCCCUUACUCGUCGCUGUCUCAUGGCUAUGCGCCGCAUUUUAUGGCGGGGUAUAGAGGUUCUCGCGAAAGGGCCGACUUUAUGAUAUGCUUGUCGAUAUGGAAUUAGAUCCCAAAGUUUCGACCACUCACUAUCUAGAGAGAAGCCUCAACCUCUUCUUUUCUAUACAUUGAGUUAUAUUCAAAGGUAUCCCAACACCGGUAAUGCCCC
rnacentral:lncRNA from 1 species